UACGUAGGCAGCGAGCGUUGUUCGGAAUUACUGGGCGUAAAGAGUGUGUAGGCGGUGCUCUAAGUCUGUCGUGAAAUCUCCCGGCUUAACUGGGAGGGUGCGGCGGAAACUAGUGUGCUAGAGGGUGGGAGAGGAAAGCGGAAUUCCUGGUGUAGCGGUGAAAUGCGUAGAUAUCAGGAGGAACACCUGCGGUGUAGACAGCUUUCUGGACCACUUCUGACGCUGAGACACGAAAGCGUGGGUAGCAAACAGG
rnacentral:rRNA from 1 species